CCUCUAGCACCUGGUACUGCAUUCAGUCUGCAAUUUAAUGUGGUACUAUUCUGAAGGUUUUGGCAGCUUCUCCAGGAAGAGGCAGAGAGAAUGAUCUCUGUAAAUAUUUGCCAGUGGGUACUUUCAUGCUACAAUGGAUGGAAUGAGUAGUUGCAACUGAUACCGUGUGACCUGCAAAGUCUAAACAGUUUGCUCUCUGGCCUCUUAUUGAAACAGUUCAUGGAUGCCUGUUUUGGAUGCAUUGAAUAGCAGUAAACAACCAAGCAACCAAUAAGGGAUUUGGAGACAGUUAAGAAGGUUGAAUGCCUGAAUGAGAAACGAUUGAUUAUUCCUCUUGCUGAAGGCUUAUGAAACCGUGAGAUGUAGACUUCUGCCUCUAAAUUGUAUCUCCAGCUCCAACCCUGUCUUCUUGGACAGUGCAGCUGAAUGUCUUCCUCAUUGUGUUACUUGGGCUCUGUUUCCAAAAAUCAGUCAACCAUAUAUGUGUGGGUCUAUUUCUAGACUUGAUUAUGAUCCAUUGACAUGUAUAUCUAUCCUUACAUCAUUCCCGCACUGUUUUGUCAUAUAGCCAAUUAUAGUCUCUAAGCUUAACCCAGCCCAUAUUGUGUUUCAUACAGCCUAUAAGCUAAAAAUGGCUUUUUUAUCUUUAAAGAGUUGUAUAUGGUGCACAAAGCCUUAAAUAUUUACUCUCUGGCCUUUUACAGAAAAAGUUGCUAAUUUUGUGGCAAGUCUUGAAAUAAGCU
ensembl:lncRNA